rnacentral:lncRNA from 1 species
GGAAUAUUGGCCUCUAGGGUUUCACGGGGAGUAGAGAGUAGUUCUCUCCCUAGCAAUUCUUUUUCUUCUUUUGCAGCCCAAAGAAUCCAGGGAGAACCAAUCACAAUCUAUUGAAGGUAUGUUGAACAUGCUAUGACAAUGAGAAUGGUUUAUUGAUGUUUCUAUUGAUGUUUAAAAAAUGGUAUUAGAGCCACCUUCUCAUUUUCACAGCUGACAUUUUAUACUGCUAGCUUCAUCCUAAUUAGCAAUAAUUUUUAGGCUUCGUCGAUGAGUUCUUUUAUUGGAGGCCGUUGAUUAAUUAUAUUCAAAAUGGCCGGACAGUAGGUAACGCACAUAUGGGAGUUUUAUAGAUCUAUUAUUAUUAUAUUCAAAAUGGCCGGACAGUGGGUAAUGCACAGCAAAUCUGAGAGUUUUAUUGAUCUAUUAAUUAUAAUACUCUAAUGUUUUUCAAAUAUAAAGAAUAGUUGAAGGCAACGAAUCUGGAAUCUGGGAGUCUUAUUGAUUUAGUAUUACAAUAUUCUAAUGUUUUCCAAAGAUAUAGAAUGCAAAUCUAGGAGUUCGGUCUAUUUUUAUAAUAUUAAAAUGCUUUUCGUAAUUUCUUUGACUUAAAGAAGACUUAUAAUAAUUGAUCUAUUAUUAUAAUAUUAAAAUGCUUUUCAAAGAUACAAAAUGGCAGAAGGCAGUACUCGUGGGAGUUUUAAUAAUAGAUCUAUUAUUAUAAUAUUCAAAUGUUUUUGAAAAAUGCCCAUUUAUGAAUUUUUGUAAUAUUGUUCCAUGUUAGUUAAUUGGAGAAAAGAAAUGGAUAAUCUAUUUUAAGAAGAAUAAAUAUUUUAUCCAUAUAGAUCACAUAAUUUUGUUGUAUACCGAUGGUUUGGAGUGACUAUGUACUUAGCUCUCGUGGGACUAGUUAUGAUAAAUUAUCGAGAUUGUUACAUUGUUUAUGCUUCCACUUAUUGACAUUAUAUUAAGAUCCAUGCGGAUAAUGAAUUUGCCCUCUCGGUAAAUUAUUGUUUGAUAGGAUGCUUAGGACGACAAAGAUGAUAGUUAAGUGAUUGGUACUUGAUGGCCAAAUUUUAUCCUCUCGGUUGUGGGUCAUCUUUAGUCCUUGCAUUUAAUUAUUUUGUUUUGUCAUGCGUAAGAGCCUUUUACGUGGCUUAGGCUCUAGCAUAGUGCCUAAGAGUUUAUUCUGAAUAAAACUCUAGCAUGGAUAUAAAUUUGCCUAUUGGAUACAUACGUGGGUGCAUGUUUGUCAUUUCAUAAGUUUAAUAAUUUUUUAUUGUAUUCUCCUUAACUUAUGGAAAUGCAGCUCUGUCUCUCUCUUGGCCUGCUAUCAAAAGUCUAACAGGAACAAUUAUGAGGAUUGUCAUGGGUCUCUCAUUAUUAAUUUGGCUAUCGUGAAUUUGGAUAAAUGUGGAUGUUUUUUUUUUUUUUUUCAUUUCGAAAAUGGAAAUUCCGGAUUUAAUUCAUAUUGAUGUUUGUGGCCCCAUUUUACCUGCCAUUUUGAAAAAUUAUAGAUACUUCAUUACCUUUAUUAAUGAUUAUUCUCGCUAUGGUUAUAUUGAGCUCAUCUGAGAAAAAUCAAACUCAUUGUAAUCUUUUAAAGAGUUCAAGGCUGUUGUGGAACUCCAGAAAAAACAUGAAAAUCAAAACAGUAAGAUUGGAUAGAGGAGGUAAGUUUUAUGGGAGAUAUGAUAAAACUGGUAGAAAUCCUGAAUCUUUUGCAAUUUUCUCGAAGCGUGUGGUAUUGAGGCUCAAUAUACAAUGCUUAAACCCCUGAACAGUGGCAUUGCAGAAAGAAAAAAUCAUACUCUUGUGGACAUGGUGCGAUGUAUACUUAGUCAUUCCACUUUGCUUGAUUUUUGUAGCGUGAGGUUUUGAAACUACUGCCUACAUUCUAGAUCAAGUACCAAGAAAGUUGGUUCCUAUAACUCCUUAUGAAUUAUGGUUAGGCAAAAGGCCUAAUUUGCAUCAUUUUCAUGUUUGAGGUUGUAAGCAGAAAUAAAGCCUUAUAAUCCUCAGCAGAAGAAACUUGAUCCUAAGACUAUUACUGAAUAUCUUGUUAGGUAUUAUGUGGAAUCAAAAGGAUCUAGAUUCUAUUGCCCUUCUAAUGUUACUAGAAUUAUUAAAUCUGAUCGAGCCAUUUUUUUUGAACAUGUUAGUGAUAAUGGGGGCUCUGUACUGCGUAAAGUUGUGUUUUUGGAAGGAGUGUGUUGUUAUUCCUGUUUAGGUUACUCCUCCAUCAGUGGUUGUGCCACCAUUAAAAAAGGGAACCAAUACUAUGGUCCAAGACCCCGUUGUUGACACUGAGGUUAAUGUUAUAUAGGGAACUGAUGAUAUUAUUUUGAGGAGAUCACAGAGAAUUUGUAGACCAACAAUUUCUGAUGAUUAUAUUUGUCUAAUCGUAGGAGAUGAGUUUGAUGCUGAUACAUCUGUUGAUCCGACCGCUUUUGAGAAGGCCAUUAAUAGUCCUAAAUCUUCAUUUUAGAUGGAUACUAUGCAUGAUGAGAUGGCAUCAAUUGUCUCGAAACGGAGCAUAAGACUUAGUUAAACUACCUUGGAGCUGUAGGCCAAUUGGUUGUGAAUGGAUUCUCAAGACCAAGUAUAAUUCUCAAGUUCAAGUGGAAAGGUAUAAAGCUAGGCUUGUUGCUAAGGGGUUUAAUCAAAGAGAAGGCAUUGAUUACAAUGAUACAUUUUCUCCUGUUUCUACCAAGGAUUCUUUUCAGAUUAUUAUGGCAUUGGUGGCUCAUUUUGAUCUUGAGUUGCAUCAAAUGGAUGUCAAGACAGCUUUUCUUAAUGGACAUUUAUUUGAGGAUGUGUACAUGAUGCAACCAAAUGGUUUCCAAGUAGAAAGAAAGGUACACAUGGUGUGUAAGUUUAAGAAGUAUAUUUAUGGGCUUAAGGAGGCAUCGAGACAAUGGUACUUAAAAGUUGAUGUGAUUGUCACUUCUUUCGGUUUCAAGGAGAAUGUUGUUGAUCAAUGCAUAUACUUGAGGGACACUAGGAAUAAGUGCAUAUCGUCAUCUCAAUUUGAUAUAUAUGAUCUUGAGAGGCCUAUUAUAUUUUGGGGACUCAGAUUUUUGUGAUAGAUCUAGAGACGUUCUUAAAUUGUCUCAGAAAACCUAUAUUAAUUAAGUUUUGAGUAGGUUUAAUAUGAAUUCUUGCUCUCCUGGUACAGCACCUAUUUUGAAAGGUUACAAAUUUUCUGAGUCUAAAUACCCUAAGGAUGAUAAUGAGAUGACUCAAAUGCAAACAAUUCCCUAUUUUUCAGUUGUGGGUAGUUUGAUGUAUGUUCAAGUGUGUACACGGCCUGACAUUGCUUAUGUUGUUAGUGUACUUGGUAGAUACUUGAGUGAUCCUAGUUUGGCUCACUUAUAAGGCAUUAAAGAUCUAAUGCUUACAUAUCGGCGAUAUGACAUUCUUGAUGUGGUUGGAUAUUAUGAUACUGAUUUCGUAGGUUGUUUAGAUGACAGAAGAUAUACUUCUAGUUAUGUUUUUUAGGAUGACAGAAAGAGCUAUUUCAUGGAAAAGUGUAAAACAGACUCUUAAUGCUUCCUCUACAAUGGAGGCAGAGUAUGUGACUUAUUAUGAAGCUACAUGUCAAGCCAUAUCGUUGCAGAACUUUAUCUUGGGGCUAGGAAUUGUGAACACCAUCUCGAGGCUACUGAAGAUAUUUUGUGACAAUUCUGCACCAGUUGCUUUCUCUCGAAUACUAGGAGCUUUUCAUGCUCCAAGCAUAUUGAUAUUAAUUUGUUUGUUAGAGAGAAAAUAGCCGAGUCUUAUAUUUGUAUUGAGCAUAUUUCGACAGAUCACAUAUCCACUAACUAAAGAAUUAGCUCCAAAAUUGUUUUAGGAGCAUGUGGCUCAUUUGGGAUUGUUAGAGUCUUAUGUUAUAUUUAGUUAGUGAGAGUUCUGUAAUCAUUGCUAUUUUGACAUAUUAUUUAUGCUCACAUGCUGUUUUGUCAUUAAAAUAUAGUAAUGUCAACGAAUGCCUAAGUCAUGCUCAUUUUGGACAAGGCUUACUUUAUGUAUUGAGACAUUUUGAUUAGUCUUGUGCCUGGGUCACGUGUAUUUUGGACAAGGCAAUGUUCAUAUAUAUUGAGACAUUUUGACCAGUCUCAUGCUCGAGUCACGCACAUUUUGGACGAGGCAAUGUUCAUAUAUAUAUAUAUAUAUAUAUAUAUAGAGAGAGAGAGAGAGAGAGAGAGAGAGAGAGAGAGAGAGAGAGACAUUUUGAUCAGUCUCGUGCCUGAGUCACGCGCAUUUUGGAUAAGGCAAUGAUUAUAUGUAUUGAUACAUUUUGAUCAGUCUCGUGCCCGAGUCAUGCACAUUUUGGAUAAGGCAAUGAUUAAAUGUGUUGAGACAUUUUGGUUAGUCUCAUGCUUGAGUCACGCACAUUGUGGACAAGGCGUAUUAUCUAUAAGAGACAAUAUGUUUUAGUCUAUGUCUAAGCCUAGUUGUUGUAAGUAUAUGUUUAGUGUCAUAUACCCUGUUGGUAUGAUCAUUAAGCUAUGUGCUACAACUGUAUUUGGUAUAAGGCUUAUCGUUUUUUAAAGACUCUUAGAUUUGUCUAUAGGGCUUCUUAUGGAAACGGGUGUUUAUCACUCUUUUGAUCUUUUCCAUACCGCUUCUAUAUCUCAUUGGCCUAUGUUACGUGAAUACAUGUUGGUAUAUCAUUCAUUGGUUUGAACUUGUAAGCACAUUUUGAACAAGGUUUUUUGGUUUUGAGAUGCUUAUUUGUGUUUAUGUAAUGAUUAAAUGAAAUGUUGUCCAAGUGGGAUAUUGUUGUAUUUAAUUUUAUGGACUAGCAUUUCAUUAGUCAUUUUGUGAGCCCCCUUUUAUUAACACAUAUGGAGGCCCCUACUCUCAACCCAGUUCAUAUAUAUAUAUAUAUAUGUUAUAGCCCUUUCUUCAUUUCUCUCAAGCAAGAAGAGGGAUAUUGGCUUCUAGGGUUUCAAGAGGAGUAGAGAGUAGUUCUCUCCAUAACAAUUCUUCUUCUUCUUUUGCAGUCCAAAAAAUUCAUGGAAAACCAAUCACAAUCUAUUGGAGGUAUGUUUUUCUUUUAUUAUAGUUGAACAUGCUAUGACAAUAAGAAUGAAUUAUUGAUGUUUAACAAUCAUAAUAUUGAUAUCAUGGAGAAUAAAAAUUUAACCACUGCACUUAUUUAUCUUACCUUAAAAAUAUGAAUUUGCUAAGAAUUUUGAAAAAGAAUUUCCCUAUUUUCCUUGACUUGAAGAAUAGCAAAAUAUAUAGAGUUGAUAACUUUGUAUGUAUUAAAAAAACCGUGUGUAUAAGUAUCAUAUAAAUGUGAUUGGUGAGUGGGUAAAAAAAAUGGCCAAGUAUUUGAGAAAAACCACCACAUGUUCUCGUAACUUCACACACGUAUACCACUAAUAAAUAUCAAAACUAACAAAGUUAUAAAAUUGGUUAUUUUUUUACCACACUUGAAAUCUCACACAUUUGUCAACCAAUCAAUGCAAAGAAAAAUAAUAAUUAAUAUUAUAUUAAAUGGUUACAUAAAUUUCGUUUCAACCACAAUAACUUGACAUAAUGCGUUCAAAAUAAAUUUCUCUUGGACCCAAUUUAAGUAAUUUAACCUGGUCUACAAAAUGAGACCCAUAUUAAUAUAUUUUUAUCAACAUUUACUAUACCCAAUUAUUUGGCACGCAUAAUACUUAGAAGAAAUUAAAAAAUGCAUAAUUAGGAAAUAAUUCUUUUUUCAAAAAAAUAUAUACAUAUAUUGUAUUAUCAUUUUAAUUAAUGAACUUUAGUGUAAUGACAAGGCUAAGCAUAGACCAAUUAAUUUGCUAAUGAUCAAAGUUAAAUUAACAAAAUUUAAGGAAGUAAAUGAAUUUUGGAAUGUUACACAAGGGAGCUUUCAAGUGUGAGAUGUCGGACUUUCUUCCACUCUAUCCUUCCAAUAAACAGAAGGAAAUAGUUUUUCUUUCCUAGAGAGGACGGAUGGAUCGGCCUACAUGCAUUGAUACGAAUGAGGUCUAUUAGCUUCUUUUCACUUGGGCUCACUUUUUUUGGAAAGCCCUUUCGAAAAUGUUUCAUAGUAAACAUCCUUCGCAAAGUUAAUUCUAGUGAUUAAUAAAUGCAACUCCUUCAACAUUCUGUUCUUGGAUUACAACCUCAUACCACAGUUGAGAUGCCUGAACCUUAGAUGUCAUAGCCACUAAAUACUCUAGAAAAAUAUUCGAAAAUAGAAUUAGAUUCUUUCAUUUAUAGAGAUUCGAGCUCACGUCUUAAAGUUUGGGUACAACUUCUUGACUUUCUCCCCUCCUUUGUAGAAUGUUUGAACCCUAUCCCAAGCUUCUUUGGGUGCUUGCAUUCGAAAAUUUCUCAAAUCCAUUAUCAUCAAGUGAUUAAUAAAUAAGAUAGAUAGCUUUUUUUUGUUUAGAAAGCUUCUUUGUCUCUCUUUCUUAAAUCCUUCAAGGCGUCCCUUUUAUCUUGAACUAUAGUAGCCUCAUAAUUUGGCUCAUCGUACCCCUUAUCUACGAUCUUUCAUAGGUCUUGUUAUUUGAGUGAUGCUUCAUUUUAAUCCUCCAUUUAUUAUAGUUUCUCUUAUCGAGUGACGGAACUUGAAAGGGAAUUAUACCAUUUUCCAUCUCCUUCAAAGGAUCUUGUGGCUCUGAUACCAAUUUGUUAGGAAGAAGAUUUAUUUAUAGAGUACUUUAGGAUAAUUUUUAAGAGGUUGAAGAGGCUAGAGAAGGAAUUUGUAUUUUAUCUCUAAAUUAGCUUGUUACAAAGGACAAGAGGGCACCUCUAUUUAUAGUACUCAGAGGACUCCUUUACAUGCUAAAAUAUAUACAUCUACCUAACAUUCACUAAAUACUCUAAUACAAUGCAAUUCUAGAUAGCGAAUUAAUCUAGAGCAUGAUUUAUUCUAGAAUAUGAAUUAUUAUAGAUACGGGCUUAUGGACUCACUUAAUUAUAAUAAUUAACAAGCCAAGAUAAAAAAUAAUGAAAUGACCAAACCAAAUUUAUUUUACAACUGAUUCAUGAAGUUGAUUAAGGAAGAAAGGAAAAAAGAUUUCUGAUUUUUCAACUUGUGAUUACUGUGGUAGCAGUACUCCUAGCUACAGAACCAAAAUAGAACUUUUUGUUCGUAUACAGUGGACAAAUUUAAAUAAUUUUAGAACAUUUACAGGUGUUACAAUAAUUAUAGUCCUGGAAAAAGGGGAGUGUUACGUAUCCUCUGUCAUAUUUACAAUUGUUCUUGUUUGUUUAAGUUCGAAUUAAACCUCCACCAUAC